GAGCCCACCAUCCACCCUGUUGUCUCUCGCAUCUUCCCAAAUUCAUCUGGAUCCAAUCGCCGCCAGCUCCUCCGAGCGCCUCCUCCGAGCGCGGCCCUCACCAGAUCCACAUGACCGCAUCCACAUGCUGGCCUCCUCCUCUAGCUCGACCCCGAGAUCCCCCACCCGGACCCUCCCCGGCAACGAUGCGGUCUAGGCCGCCGUGGAGCCAUGGAUCCAGGCCAUGGCCCUCCCUGCUCGUCCCUCCAUCCCCUCUACAACGGUGAAGACGAGGCCCUAGCACUCGCCUCCCCCACGAGCUCCAGGUAUGAGGUCCAAGACCCGCCUCAUCUGGAUCGGGCCACGGUGUCGCGCCACCACCACGUGAACCCGGCUGCCUCCUCCGCCAUUGACGACAUCCACACGGACGGCCGUGCACCACCAACACCACCACCUCUCCCCCCGACACUCGGCUACAUGGAGGUCGUGUGGGUGCUCCCUGCGGCCUCUCCUCUCUCUCUCCAUAGUUGCAAUGGAUGCCUGGAAAAGAAUUAAGAACAUGUACGAGCAAGCUAAGCGAUCAACAGAAUCCUGAUGCAGUUAUCUCAUUCCUGAGGGGAACAGCGUUUGAGCAGCCGCUGCCGGAUUUGGUAUCGUUCCUUUACAAGAACAGGAUCAUGUACCUGGCCGUCACUAGGCUCCUCAUUGGAGCGAUCAAUUUUGCGCCUGGAUCUAAUCCUCUCUCACCUUUAUUUCUCUGAUCUACGAUCUUACAUGUUGUAGUGCCUUUUUUUGAGUAAACUGUGAAAUACUACUAGUCUAGUUGCACUAUAGUAGUCUCGGUUGAAUAUAAUUAUCGGGAAGUUGCACAAUACGGUGAUAUUAAAUUGGCUA